GAUGAACGCUAGCGGAAGGCAUAAUACAUGCAAGUCGAACGGAUGUAGCAAUACAUUAGUGGCGCACGGGUGCGUAACGCGUAUGCAACCUACCUUCAUCAGGGGGAUAACUACCCGAAAGGGUGGCUAACACCGCAUAAUACUAUUGAGUGGCAUCACUUGAUAUUUAAACCUGAGGAGGAUGAAGAUGGGCAUGCGUCUGAUUAGCUAGUUGGUGUGGUAACGGCGCACCAAGGCGACGAUCAGUAGGGGAACUGAGAGGUUGGCCCCCCACACUGGCACUGAGAUACGGGCCAGACUCCUACGGGAGGCAGCAGUAGGGAAUAUUGGUCAAUGGUGGGAACACUGAACCAGCCAUUCCGCGUGCAGGAAGAAGGGUCUCUGACUUGUAAACUGCUUUAGCAAGGGAAGAAAAAGCUCAUGCGUGAGAAAUUGACGGUACCUUGAGAAUAAGCACCGGCUAACUACGUGCCAGCCGCCGCCGUAAUAC
rnacentral:rRNA from 1 species